CCCUUGGUCCCUUCUCAAGACCUGUGCCAGUGGUUCAAUACAGGCCACGAACAGAAGAGGAGAUAACGGACAGCCCUGACGGACGCCGCAGUGUACUCCCACUGCUUUUGACAGAUGCCCAUUUACAAGGAUUUUGCUGGUGAUGUCCCCGUACAGCAGUCCCACCCAAGCUAAAAACCUGUCCGGGAAACCCAUUUUUUGCAGCACCUUAAAGAGGUACUGGUGCGAGACCCGGUCAAAGACUUUUUCAAAAUCUAAAUUUAGAUGCAAGAGUUGUGGGUUCAAUUCCCCUGGGGACAAAUACAAAAAUUGUAUGCCCUCACUACUUUAAGUCACUCUCGUUAAACUAGGACAACCAUCUCAGUAACGGGUGCAAUAAGUACAAAUACUAACAGAUUGGAUUAGUUUAUGAAAAUGUAUGUUAUUAAUCUUUGUGUAGCAUAAGAUUAAUCAACCAAUAAAUGUGCAUGCCAAAACACAGACAUUGAAACAAACAAUUCUGAAAAAUUAACCUGCAAUAGAGCAAGCUGGGAAAUAUGAUAAUGAUGGGUGUGGUUUUGAGUGAUUUACUCCACACAGAUAAACAUUUCAUAAUCACACUUAACUCUGUUUAUUCAUACCAACACAGGGUUCCUUUACACCACUGAGUGUUGAAUGUAACUCCUGAAUCCACUCGAAAUGUUACACUGAAAAAUCAACACUAGGUAAAACUGGCCAAUUUGCUGUGUACCAUACUAUACAUUGCUGGUUCACUCAGACUCCCUUCUAUUCUCCUACUUUCUGCUCUAUAAAUUCACAGAAAAUACUCAUUUGAAAAACAGAAAUCAUGGCAAAGAUAUCAACUAUGUCAGUGCUGUAUAUGUAAAAUGAUUAAGGGAAUACCAGAUACAGUACAUGCAUAAAUAUUCCCAUAUCAUUACAGCUAAAACAAUUCUCACAGCUAUCUUUUUAAAUGUAGCAGAUUACUACAAUUCCUGAUGUUAAAGUUCAAACACUGAGGUAAACAUUAUUGCUCAGGCACAAUUUAAAAUAAAUAAAGAAAAAAUACAAUAAAAUAGCUUAUACAGAUUCAGAAGGGUUCUAUGUGGAACCCUUCUUGCUUUCCAAAGAAUCACCAAAGAACCCUUUCUUCCAAAAUCGGCUCUUAGGAUGAAAAAUGUUCUAGGUUGAACUCUUUGCCUAACAAAGAACCCUUGUCUUCCAAAAAAGGGUUCAUUCUUCAGAUGAAAAGGAUUCUUGGAAGAACCCUAUCCAUCUACAAAUAACCCCUUUGGAACCUUUUUUUCUAAGAAUUUAGGUCAUGACACUACUCAUGAAUGUGUGACUGUGACCUCAUACAAACCCCCUCUGGCUUGAGUAAGUCAACACGCAAUCACUUACACUAUACACAAACUGUAAUUGAGCAACAUUCUGUCUCGCUCGCUCCCGUGGCCGGCUCGAAGUGCACUCACAGGAAUGCUGGGGUUCAGAACAGGGAGAGGAGGGGGCCGGUCCCCAUAUUGUAUCACCUUCCCCUCACGGAUUGGAGUGAACAUAACAUUAGUAACUGAGCGAACAGUCCCGGUCUCUCUCUGUCCUUAAGCAAGCCAAAGUUAAAAAUACUCACCGGGAAAAACAAUAGUUGCGUGCGGAAAUAUCUCGGUCAUCCAUCUUUCUGUCACGCACGAAGCUGCCAUGCGCUUUUUUUACGCUGACUCAAACGGGGAGCGAAAAAAUAAAGAGGACAUGUCAUAAAGAAAGGAAAAUAUGAAACGCGUGUACAAAGACAGAUAUACAACCACAUAGUGAAAGAAGAUAUGGAUAGGCUUGACACGCAAAACGAGCCAUGCGUGAAACAAAUUAACCUCGUCUGCCCCUCCAAUUCUCUCAGCGGGCUUCGCAGGCUACGGAGCGGGUUGACAGCACAUUUACGGGUUAAUCAUUGUGCCACAGACCCGGCAUUGCGUGCAGACUGUGUUUGCUCUGGCUGUGCCAAGG
ensembl:lncRNA